rnacentral:rRNA from 1 species
CGCCAGACUCCUACGGGAGGCAGCAGUGAGGAAUAUUGGUCAAUGGGCGGGAGCCUGAACCAGCCAAGUCGCGUGAGGGAAGACGGUCCUACGGAUUGUAAACCUCUUUUGCCGGGGAGCAACGGGGUCCUUGCGAGGGCCCAAUGAGAGUACCCGGAGAAAAAGCAUCGGCUAACUCCGUGCCAGCAGCCGCGGUAAUACGGAGGAUGCGAGCGUUAUCCGGAUUUAUUGGGUUUAAAGGGUGCGUAGGCGGGGCGGUAAGUCCGGGGUGAAAGGGCGGGGCUCAACCCCGGCCUGCCGUUGGAACUGGCGGCCUCGAGUGGGCGAGAAGUAUGCGGAAUGCGUGGUGUAGCGGUGAAAUGGAUAGAUAUCACGCAGAACUCCGAUUGCGAAGGCAGCAUACCGGCGCCCAACUGACGCUGAAGCACGAAAGCGUGGGUAUCGAACAGGAU